GACGAACGCUGGCGGCGUGCUUAACACAUGCAAGUCGAACGGUGAAGCGCCUUCCUUUUUGGUGGGUGUGGAUGAGUGGCGAACGGGUGAGUAACACGUGAGUAACCUGCCCCCUUCUUCUGGAUAACCGCAUGAAAGGGUGGCUAAUACGGGAUAUUCUGGGUCUGUCGCAUGAUGGGUCUGGGAAAGAUAUUGUUUCGGUGGGGGAUGGGCUCGCGGCCUAUCAGCUCGUUGGUGGGGUGAUGGCCUACCAAGGCGGUGACGGGUAGCCGGCCUGAGAGGGUGGACGGUCACACUGGGACUGAGACACGGCCCAGACUCCUACGGGAGGCAGCAGUGGGGAAUAUUGCACAAUGGGCGCAAGCCUGAUGCAGCGACGCCGCGUGAGGGAUGGAGGCCUUCGGGUUGUGAACCUCUUUCGCCAGUGAAGCAGGCCUGCCUCGUUUGUGGGUGGGUUGACGGUAGCUGGAUAAGAAGCGCCGGCUAACUACGUG
rnacentral:rRNA from 1 species